ensembl:miRNA
CUCAGGCCGGCGCCCGGGCUCUGGCUCCGUGUCUUCACUCCCGUGUGUGUCCGAGGAGGGAGGGAGGGACGGGGGCUGUGCUGGGGCGGCCGGAACGGCGCGGCCCG